rnacentral:rRNA from 1 species
AACGAACGCUGGCGGCAUGCCUAACACAUGCAAGUCGAACGAGAUCUUCGGGUCUAGUGGCGCACGGGUGCGUAACGCGUGGGAAUCUGCCCUUUGGUUCGGAAUAACAGUUGGAAACGACUGCUAAUACCGGAUGAUGACGAAAGUCCAAAGAUUUAUCGCCAGAGGAUGAGCCCGCGUAGGAUUAGCUAGUUGGUGUGGUAAAGGCGCACGAAGGCGACGAUCCUUAGCUGGUCUGAGAGGAUGAUCAGCCACACUGGGACUGAGACACGGCCCAGACUCCUACGGGAGGCAGCAGUGGGGAAUAUUGGACAAUGGGUGAAAGCCUGAUCCAGCAAUGCCGCGUGAGUGAUGAAGGCCUUAGGGUUGUAAAGCUCUUUUACCCGGGAUGAUAAUGACAGUACCGGGAGAAUAAGCUCCGGCUAACUCCGUGCCAGCCGCCGCGGUAA